rnacentral:rRNA from 1 species
AUAAUAUAAGAUUUAACCUGCCCACUGAAUAAUUAAAUGGCCGCGGUAUUUUGACCGUGCAAAGGUAGCAUAAUAAUUAGUUUUUUGAUUGAAAGCUGGAAUGAAUGGUUGGACGAGAAAAUUACUGUCUCUUAUUAAUUUUAAAUAAAAUUUUAUUUUUAAGUUAAAAAGCUUAAAUAUUAUUGAAAGACGAGAAGACCCUAUAGAGUUUUAUAAUUUAUUGAAAAUUUAAUUUAAAGUAUUUAAUUUUUGUUUUUGUUAAAUUAUUUUAUUGGGGUGAUAAAAAGAUUAAACUAACUCUUUUUUUAUUUGCACAUUUUUAAAUGAUAAAUUGAUCCAUUUUUAAUGAUUAUAAGGAUAAAUUACCUUAGGGAUAACAGCGUAAUCUUUUUGGAGAGUUCUUAUCGAAACAAAGGAUUGCGACCUCGAUGUUGGAUUAAAAUUAAUUUUUGGUGUAGAAGCUGGAAUAUUGAGUCUGUUCGACUUUUAAAAUUUUACAUGAUCUGAGUUUAAACCGGUGUGAGCCAGGUUGGUUUCUAUCUUUAUUAAAAUAAAAUAUUUUAGUACGAAAGGACCAA